rnacentral:rRNA from 1 species
UACGUAGGGGGCAAGCGUUGUCCGGAAUUAUUGGGCGUAAAGAGCGCGUAGGCGGUCCGAUAAGUCGGCUGUGAAAGUCAGGGGCUCAACCCUUGAAAGCCGGCCGAUACUGUCGGACUAGAGUCCGGAAGAGGCAAGUGGAAUUCCCGGUGUAGCGGUGAAAUGCGCAGAUAUCGGGAGGAACACCAAUGGCGAAGGCAGCAUCCUGGACCGACAUUGACGCUGAAGCGCGAAAGCUAGGGGAGCAAACAGG